rnacentral:rRNA from 1 species
UUAAAAAGCUCGUAGUUGGAUUUCUGUCCGAGGCAGCCGGUCCGCACCUGGUGCGUGUAUCAGGUUUGACUAGGGCAUCCUCUUGGGGAACGUUUCUGUGCUUCAUUGCAUGGGACGGAACUCAAGACUUUUACUUUGAGGAAAUUAGAGUGUUCACGGCAAGCUAUCGCUUAGAAUACAUUAGCAUGGAAUAAUAAUAUAGGGCGUAUGUCUUAUUUUGUUGGUUUCUAGGACAUACGCAAUGAUUAAUAGGGACAAUUGGGGGCAUUCGUAUUAACGCGUCAGAGGUGGAAUUCUUAGAUUGCGUUACGACGAACUACUGCGAAAGCAUUUGCCAAGGAUGUUUUCAUUGAUCAAGAACGAAAGUAUGGGGAUCGAAGACGAUUAGAUACCGACGUAGUCUAUACCAUAAACUAUGCCAAUUAGAGAUUGGAGGUCGUUCGUUUUAUGACUCCUUCAGCACCUUAUGAAAAAUCCAAAUUUUUGGGGUUCCGGGGGGAAUAUGGUC